rnacentral:lncRNA from 1 species
GAAGUUCGUGGGAGUGUUCCUGGGUACGAAGCGCCACGCUGCUUGACCAUGCCAUGCUAGGUGGGUAACGCAGAGUCUAGCACGUCAAGGGCGAUCUAAGCUUCCCAGCCCCUCCCUCCCUCCUUCCCAGCCUCCUCACGACCUCCUUCCUACAUACCGCCGGGCCUGGUUUCAGUAAUAAAACGAAUCGUGUGUGUGUCGUGUGUAUUCUUACCCUACAAAUGGUACUCUAUUAGCCUGCUUAGCUACAUAGGCCAGCAAAAGUAUUGCAAUGAAUCAAAGCUGCUCAAAUGUGACAUCACAGUUGCAGCAGGAUGCAUUCCACGUUUCCUUAAUGCACAAGGAGGAACGACUUCACCCACAACGCAUAUACGGUAUGCUGCAAAUGAAAGUAUCGCUCAUGGCGAAUUGCAUAGCACUUGUUAUGGAGUAUAGCCAGCACGGAGAGCACCUAGUGCGAAGGUCGUAUGGGCGUGUAUGUGUAUGUGUUUGAGUGUACACUCAAAGCAGAAAUGCAAC